CCUUAGGAAAAAGGCCGACAUUUUGUAUAAACACACUUGCUCCGUCCUCUGGCAAGGCUGUGUAUGCUUAGUCAUCAGGAAAGUUUCAGCUGAACUUUGAUCAACAUGACUCAGUAAUUACUAAGACAUUGACUACCUACAGCCUAGAGAGAAACGGGAAACCCUGACCUACUUGUAGCCUGGAUACCUGAAAGAAUAACUCGAGUUAACAAAAUGCUUUAUGCCAUCCCUUUAUUUGACGGUCACACCUGGUAAAGUCUGCCUGAUACCGGGUCUGCUCUGCCCAAGGAAGUAGGAACUGUGAAAUAGGAGCUCCUGAGGCUUGUUCAACACCACCCAAACUUCCAUCUCUUUGGUCCAUUUACUGUCUGCUCAUCUUUAAGCAAGGAAACACCGCACACUCAAGUGACGACCUCCAGAUUCUUUCCCGUCUGAGCCACCAGGGAAGCCCAUGAGUACUGGAGUGAGUAGCCUAUCCCUUCUCCAGGGGAUCUUCCCGACCCAGGAAUUGAACUGGGGUCUCUUCCACUGCAGACGGAUUCUUUACCAGCUCUACAUUAGGUUCUGAGAAUUGUGGGGAUGAGAGGAAGCCUGCAAAACCAGAGGAGGAGAAGGGACUGACUCCUUCCCACGUGCUCCCUACUGGCUUCGGGUCUGUUUGCCACUCCCUGGAGCAGCUCCUCAGUCACCCUCCUCCACUUCGCAGAAGCAGUUCUUUCCCAUGGCAGCCAGUACAACCAGCGUUUAGGUGGUCCGACCCUGCAGAACCAGACACGUGUACAUCCCUAGCAACCAGCGCCAGCCAAGCACACCCCAUCCUCAGGGGUCUGAGUUUUAGCUCUAUAUGGCAUCUCCAAGCUUCUAGAUUUUUAUAAUUCCAUCUUCUUUCCUUUCACCACCCACCCCCCGCAACCCUAGGAUCUUAAUAUCCUCUUUUUACACUUAGUU
ensembl:lncRNA